rfam:Mucor circinelloides f. circinelloides 1006PhL unplaced genomic scaffold supercont1.31, whole genome shotgun sequence.
GGUGACGUAGCGUAAUGGAUAACGCAUCAGACUUCGAAUCUGAAGGUUGUGGGUUCGAGUCCCAUCGUCAUCG